rnacentral:rRNA from 1 species
AGUGAACGCUGGCGGUAGGCCUAACACAUGCAAGUCGAACGGCAGCACAGUAAGAGCUUGCCCUUACGGGUGGCGAGUGGCGGACGGGUGAGGAAUACAUCGGACUCUACUUUUUCGUGGGGGAUAACGUAGGGAAACUUACGCUAAUACCGCAUACGACCUACGGGUGAAAGCAGGGGAUGUUCGGACCUUGCGCGAUUGAAUGAGCCGAUGUCGGAUUAGCUAGUUGGAGGGGGAAAGGCCCACUAAGGCGACGAUCCGUAGCUGGUGUGAGAGGAUGAUCAGCCACACUGGGACUGAGACACAGUCCAGACUCCUACGGGAGGCAGCAGUGGGGAAUAUUGGACAAUAGGCGCAAGCCUGAUCCAGCCAUACCGCGUGGGUGAAGAAGGCCUUCGGGUUGUAAAGCCCUUUUGUUGGGAAAGAAAAGCAGCAGGUUAAUACCCCGCUGUUCUGACGGUACCCAAAGAAUAAGCACCGGCUAACUUCGUG